CAACAGAUCGCCAGAUCGUUGACUUGCAUUGGCGGGAUUUCGCCGUCUUCGUUUCUCUUUCUUCGCGGACGAACACGCGCUGGGCCUGCAACGGCAGGAUCCAGGGUCCUUAACGGGAUGUGCGUUAGGGGCUUGUAGCUCAGUUGGUUAGAGCGCGCGCUUGAUAAGCGUGAGGUCGGAAGUUCAAGUCUUCCCAGGCCCACCACUUUCAUCGAGUGAGCAUUCGUCUUCUGGUUACGGGGCCAUAGCUCAGCUGGGAGAGCGCGUGCUUUGCAAGCAUGAGGUCGUCGGUUCGAUCCCGUCUGGCUCCACCAGAUGGUUUGAUCACCGAGAUCUUGACCGUCGUCCGCGAAACAUCACUUCGCAUCCUGCUAGUCUGGAUAGACAGCAGUUUGCGUGUUUUCUGACAUCGUAAAGAGGAGAUCGAUCCGAGUUGGGUCGUGCAGCAUAUCGUUGCGCGAGCCUUCAUUAUCUCCGGAUCAUUUCGGCGCUCGCUUCCAGCCGUGAGGUUGGAUGCGGSUUGUAAAUGAUCCUUUUAGCGAAGCUUGACCGCCUCGCUAUCGGAACGAUCUUACGAAGCAAGCUGGUCUUUCUUAGUCAAUGUCCGGCUGCGGAUAGCGUUCAUCGAGGGCGCGUGCCGCAAGGCAAUUCUGC
rnacentral:tRNA from 1 species